GCGAGUAGGAAGUACAUUACGUACAGUAUUUCGCGGUAGGCUGUGUGCUGGCUGGGUCUGCUCUUCUUACACUCUGCGUGCACAACUCACAUGUCUUUCACAGUGGCGAUUGUCUGAAGCAAGGAGGGGAGCCACUGAAGUUCGGCCAGGAUUUCAACAUAUGUUCUGUGGAAAGUCUCUCAUGCCAUCCAAAUACCAGCUUUGAAACAAACCAUGCAGCCUCUAACACGAACCUUGCAGUUGAAUAUCAGUAUUGGUUUCCAACAUAUUUUGGGAUGGUUGUACAGCAUCAAAUAUGAUGAUGAUUAUGACUGAUGGAAUGGUUUUGGCCUAUUUUAAGGGUCUGCCCCAGCAUUUGCUUGAAUGGACCAAGGAAAGCUACACAAAAUCCCAAAAGGUCAGUUCCAUCACUACUACUGGCUGCCAUAUGCACUGGUGAGCAAACUUGUACUGGGUCUUGUGAUUCAUCAUCUUCUCGAAUAGUGGCUGUGUCAUUAGUCCAACAAGAACCAAUCAUCACGCUUGUCUGCAACAAGUGUAUGAGACAAGAUCUAUCCAUUGGAAGCUGAAAAGUUGGCUAUUCCCAGAUGAGCGACGAUGUGCAAGGCCUUUUCCUUGAGAUGGGUGCCACGUAUGGAAGCAUUUCACUCAUAAGCGUGCUUGAACCAUGCAGCAGUGCAGCUUCCAGUUUCUCCAGUGGCAAUCGUUUGAAGAAAGCUGCUGCUGUGUUGACUGGCGAAGGUGACCAUUGAGAAGUGUGCUUGGAUUAUCAUAGAGCGCAGAACCCAGUGCACGUAUGGCAGGCAGAGGUAGCUUCCUCACGCAGUAAGUAUAAAUCUUUC